rnacentral:ncRNA from 1 species
GUCGCAAUAGUAAUUCAACCUAGUACGAGAGGAACCGUUGAUUCAUACAAUUGUUCUUCGCGCUUGGUGAAAAGUCAGUGAUGCGAAGCUUCAGGGUGCUGGAUUUUGACUGAAUGCCUCUAAGUCAAAAUUCGGGGUAGAAACAAC